AAUAACUAACAAAAGAUUCUAUCCUCUGUCCACAGUCAUGUAUCAACGUUGUUUUGCACUUCAUCUCCCCUGAAAACGUCGCUGAAUGUAUAAACGUAACUGAUGAAAUUCGUCUACUUCCUGAGCACCACAAGGCCAGGGGAAAAGUGCUGGAGGUGAAGAAAAUGGUUAUCUGUGGGAUGAAGAAUGCAAUUGCAGAAAUUCGCAACCUCACGCAUAGCAAACAGUCCUCUUGAAAGAUGAUAGACAAAACUGAUUUGAUGCAGAUCUCGUAGACUUUGCAGGUUCGUGCUUACAUACUGCUAGGGAGUAGAAUCUAGUUCUUUUUUAUGACAAAGGAGGGAUGACUGGAUACUGAUUGCUUAAGAUCUUUGUCACUUGGCAAAGAUUUACUUAUGUGUAUAUAUGUUAGAACCAUUAAGGUGUAACUCAUAGAUCUACUCAGUGACAGAUUUAACUCAUAAAA
rnacentral:misc_RNA from 1 species